rnacentral:lncRNA from 1 species
CUAUGGUUACAUAGUCUUUCUGGCAGAUCCCAUCAAAUGGAUUUUGAAUGGAGAUGUUUGUAGAAAUGUAUUCGUGGAGGAACGAUAGUGGAGGGAGAGAGGUAGUUAAGGCUUUUUCAGGAGCAUCAUCUUCAAGACAAAAGCACUGAAGGGCUCAGGAGCCGAGCCCCAAGGGAUCUUCCUUGACAAGCUUCGGGUCCAGUGGUUGGCUCAGCAGCAUCUGAAAGUGCCUGAUACACAAGCCUGACAACCGAUGUUGGCCCUCAGAAUCUACAGGAAAGAGAGAGCAAGCCUGACAACCGAUGUUGGCCCUCAGAAUCUACAGGAGAGCCUGCAGGAACCUGGAAGUCCCACAUCUUUAUUGAUUGAUCAAGAACCAAUUGGUGACAAGGACCUUCAGCAUCAGUACCUGAAGAUUCCUGAAAAACUAAAGCAUCAGAACACAAUCCUAUUUCACAAAAGGAAAAUUUAGCAAAUUGAGUUACUAAUGUCUGUAUUUUUAUUUUAGUUACAUUCUUAUCUCAGUAGCAAGAUGAUGGAAAUAUCAACAAAGUAUCCUUUACAAAGUGACUCAGACAAAUAUCUCCGAGGGGCCUUCCUUUCCCAGGUUAUUCAACAGUAUUCUGUCUAGCCCCAUCUUUAUUGCUAUACUAUAAAAAUACCCACUUCCAAGGCUCAAGGAAAAUGUGGUCAUUUCAUUACACAGCACUUGAGCAGUGCUGUGUAAUGAAAUGACCUUCAGUCUUCCACCAUAAAACGACCCAUUGCCAGAUGUCAAUGCCUUGACAGUCUUUAGAAUUGUGUGUGUGGGAGUGUGAUGGUUUGUAUAUGUUUAGCCCAGGGCGUGGCACUAUUAGAAGGUGUGGCCCUGUUGAAGCAGGUGUGUUACUAUGGGUGUGGGCUAUAAGACCCUCACCCUAGCUGCCUAGAAGUCAGUCUUCCACUAGUAGCCUUCAGAUAAAGAUGCAUAACUCUCAGCUCUGCCUGCACCUUGCCUUGCCUAGAUGCCACCAAGCUCCUACCUUGAUGAUAAUAAAGUGAACCUCUGAACCUGUAAGCUAGCCCCAAAUAUAUGUUGUCCUUUAUAAGACUUGGCUUGGUCAUGGUGUCUGUUCACAGCAGUAAAACCCUAACUAAGAUGGGGGAAACAAUCUUUUAUUAUAAACCACCCAGUCUCAAGUAUUCUAGGUUAGCCACACAAAACAAAGUAAGACACACAGGAUAGUUCUGUUACAGCCCACUGACCACUCACUCGGUUGGCUGAGUUCUUUGGAGACAGCUGUAUACUUGGGAAGACACC